rnacentral:rRNA from 1 species
GAUGAACGCUAGCGGCAGGCCUAACACAUGCAAGUCGAGGGGUAGAAGGAGCUUGCUCCUUUGAGACCGGCGCACGGGUGCGUAACGCGUAUGCAAUCUGCCUUUUACAGGGGAAUAGCCCAGAGAAAUUUGGAUUAAUGCCCCAUAGCAUUACGGGAUGGCAUCAUCUUGUAAUUAAAGUUCCAUCGGUAAAAGAUGAG